rnacentral:rRNA from 1 species
GUACGGAAGGCAGCAGGGGGAAUAUUGCACAAUGGGCGCAAGCCUGAUGCAGCCAUGCCGCGUGUAUGAAAAAGGCCUUCGGGUUGUAAAGUACUUUCAGUCGUGAGGAAGGUGUUAAGGUUAAUAACCUUAGCAAUUGACGUUAGCGACAGAAGAAGCACCGGCUAACUCCGUGCCAGCAGCCGCGGUAAUACGGAGGGUGCGAGCGUUAAUCGGAAUUACUGGGCGUAAAGGGCACGCAGGCGGUUAAUUAAGUUGGAUGUGAAAUCCCCGGGCUUAACCUGGGAAUGGCAUUCAAGACUGGUUAGCUAGAGUCUUGUAGAGGGGGUAGAAUUCCAUGUGUAGCGGUGAAAUGCGUAGAGAUGUGGAGGAAUACCGGUGGCGAAGGCGGCCCCUGGACAAAGACUGACGCUCGAUGUGCGAAAGCGUGGGGAGCAAACAGGGAUUAGAUACC